AGAGUUUGAUCUGGCUCAGAACGAACGCUGGCGGCAGGCCUAACACAUGCAAGUCGAACGCCCCGCAGGGGGAGUGGCAGACGGGUGAGUAACGCGUGGGAACCUACCUAGAGGUGCGGAAUAGCCCAGGGAAACUUGGAGUAAUACCGCAUAAGCCCGCAAGGGGAAAGAUUUAUCGCCUUUAGAUGGGCCCGCGUCGGAUUAGCUAGUUGGUGAGGUAAUGGCUCACCAAGGCGACGAUCCGUAGCUGGUUUGAGAGAAUGACCAGCCACACUGGGACUGAGACACGGCCCAGACUCCUACGGGAGGCAGCAGUGGGGAAUCUUGGACAAUGGGCGCAAGCCUGAUCCAGCCAUGCCGCGUGAGUGACGAAGGCCUUAGGGUUGUAAAGCUCUUUUGGCGGGGACGAUAAUGACGGUACCCGCAGAAUAAGUCCCGGCUAACUUCGUGCCAGCAGCCGCGGUAAUACGAAGGGGACUAGCGUUGUUCGGAAUUACUGGGCGUAAAGCGCACGUAGGCGGAUUUGUUAGUCAGGGGUGAAAUCCCGGGGCUCAACCUCGGAACU
rnacentral:rRNA from 1 species